UUUUCUCUUCUUUUUCUUCUCUUUACAUUAUUUUCCUUUCACUUUUUAUUUUCUAUUUUAUUUUCACCCUUUUUCCAUUUUAAUUUAUUUUCCCUCUUAUUUAUUUUAACCAAAUAUUUUGUAAAUACUUUUCAUAAAAUAUCUUUUUAUUUAUCCAUUAAUGAUUUUAUUUUUAUCUUUUUAUUUAGAUAUUUUUACCCUUGUGAUUAAUCAUGGGUUGAUGAUAUAUUCUAUUGGUCAUGGUAAUUGGUCCUAGAGUUGACU
rnacentral:lncRNA from 1 species